CGUACAUAUUUCAGACGUACCAAUCACACGUCAUUUUUUAUGUAAAUUUCUCACGUACGCCGCCGUCACGUCGCCGCCUACGAUUAGAUCUACAGUGACGUCGCCGCGGGUCUAUCGUCUGCCCUCCCUAUCAAUCCCAUUCAAAAUUUGACACGGUCUGACGGCGACGUAAGGGUAGACUGCGCCUUAUCCUUCGCCUGCUUAGCCUUAGAACUGGCACGGACCGCCCCUCAUAUUGACUAGAGUGGCUGCGUAUCAGCUCCGGUAGCCGCGUCGCAGCCGUAACGCGCCGCACAGGCGUGCAGUGUAAACGAGGCUUGAUUGAGACGGUACGAGCCACAUCGCCCGCGACGAGGAUCAUCGUGUCUGGACCGCUUCCGACGUACCGACGAGGACAUGAAAGGCUCUUCCGUGCUGAUGGCCUGCACCCCAGCAGGAUCUGAGCUGAUCUUCUGUCAGAGAACAUCUCAAAGACGCUUCGCACCGUAUGACUAGUGAGUCAAACCUCAAAUCACAGUCUGUGUUCUGCCCACUUAACUGAUAGAAAUGUGAGUGUAGUACAGUCUAUAGAAACUGUGUCUAUUCCCAGAAUAGUGAGGUUUAACAAUAAAAAUAAAGGAUCUAGAAAAAAUCUGAUCGUGAUCAAACCAGAAAUUCGCAAAAUUACUGAACAAAAACAAUUUCUAAAGCUAGGGCUACUAAACAUUAGAUCGCUGACACCUAAGGCGGUUAUAUAUAAAUGAAAUGAUCACAGAUAAUAGUCUUGAUGUAAUUUGCCUUACUGAAACAUGGCUUAAACCAAAUGAUUAUUUCGGUCUUAAUGAGUCUUGUCCACCUGGCUACUGUUAUAAAAACAAAUGCCGUCCGAUUGGCUGUGGUGGUGGUGUAGCAACAAUCUACAGAGAUAUUCUGAACGUUACUCAGAAAACAAACUAUAGGUUUAAUUCAUUUGAAAUUCUUAUGCUAAAUGUUACUCUCUCAGAUAUAAGUAAAAAGUCGCUACUAUCUCUUGCUUUGGCUACUGUUUAUAGACCUCCAGGGGUUUAUGCUGAUUUCCUAAAAGAGUUUUCAGACUUUCUCUCAGACCUAUUGGUCAACGUUGAUAAAGCACUGAUUGUUGGAGAUUUUAACAUUCAUGUAGACAAUACAAAUGAUGCGUUAGGGGCUGCGUUUACUGAUUUACUAAACUCAUUUGGGGCAAACAAAACGUCACUGGACCCACUCACUGUUUUAAUCAUACUCUAGAUUUAAUUAUAUCACAUGGAAUAAAUCCUACUGAUAUAGAAAUUCUACCGCAAAGUGAUGACGUCUCUGAUCACUACCUUGUAACAUGCGUACUGCAUACUGAU